GACGAACGCUGGCGGCGUGCUUAACACAUGCAAGUCGAACGGAAAGGCCCUGCUUUUGUGGGGUGCUCGAGUGGCGAACGGGUGAGUAACACGUGAGUAACCUGCCCUUAACUUUGGGAUAACUCCAGGAAACUGGGGCUAAUACCGGAUAGGAGCUCCUGCUGCAUGGGGGGGGUUGGAAAGUUUCGGCGGUUGGGGCUGGACUCGCGGCUUAUCAGCUUGUUGGUGGGGUAGGGGCUGACCAAGGGUGUGACGGGUAGCCGGCCUGAGAGGUUGACCGGCGACAUUGGGACUGAGAGACGGCCCAGACUCGUACGGGAGGCAGCAGUGGGGAAUCUUGCAGAAUGGGCGGAAGCCUGAGGCGGCAACGCCGCGUGCGGGAUGACGGGCUUCGGGUUGUAAACCGAUUUCGCCUGUGACGAAGCGUGAGUGACGGUAAUGGGUAAAAAAGCACCGGCUAACUACGUG
rnacentral:rRNA from 1 species